rnacentral:rRNA from 1 species
GGUUCGAUUAUGGCUCAGAUUGAACGCUGGCGGGAUGCUUUACACAUGCAAGUCGAACGGCAGCACGGACUUCGGUCUGGUGGCGAGUGGCGAACGGGUGAGUAAUGUAUCGGAACGUGCCUAGUAGCGGGGGAUAACUACGCGAAAGCGUAGCUAAUACCGCACACAGCCCUUCGGGGGAAAGCGGGGACCUUCGGGCCUCGCACUAUUAGAGCGGCCGAUAUCGGAUUAGCUAGUUGGUGGGCAACGCCCACCAAGGCGACGAUCCGUAGCUGGUUUGAGAGGACGACCAGCCACACUGGGACUGAGACACGGCCCAGACUCCUACGGGAGGCAGCAGUGGGGAAUUUUGGACAAUGGGGGGAAACCCUGAUCCAGCCAUCCCGCGUGUGCGAUGAAGGCCUUCGGGUUGUAAAGCACUUUUGGCAGGAAAGAAACGGCACGGGAUAAUACCCCGUGCAACUGACGGUACCUGCAGAAUAGCACUGGCUAACUACGUGCCAGCAGCCGCGGUAAUACGUAGGGUGCAAGCGUUAAUCGGAAUUACUGGGCGUAAAAGCGUGCGCAGGCGGUUCGGAAAGAAAGAUGUGAAAUCCCAGAGCUUAACUUUGGAACUGCAUUUUUAACUACCGAGCUAGAGUGUGUCAGAGGGAGGUGGAAUUCGCGUAGCAGUGAAAUGCGUAGAUAUGCGGAGGAACACCGAUGGCGAAGGCAGCCUCCUGAUAACACUGACGCUCAUGCACGAAAGCGUGGGGAGCAACAGGAUUAGAUACCCUGGGUAGUCCACGCCCUAAACGAUGUCAACUAGCUGUUGGGGCCUUCGCUGGUAGCGCAGCUAACGCGUGAAGUUGACCGCCUGGGGAGUACGGUCGCAAGAUUAAAACUCAAAGGGAAUUGACGGGGACCCGCACAAGCGUGGAUGAUGUGGAUUAAUUCGAUGCAACGCGAAAAACCCUACCUACCCUUGACAUGUCUGGAAUCCCGAAGAGAUUUGGGAGUGCUCGCAAGAGAACCGGAACACAGGUGCUGCAUGGCUACCGCCAGCUCGUGUCGUGAGAUGUUGGGUUAAGUCCUGCAACGAGCGCAACCCUUGUCAUUAGUUGCUACGAAAGGCACUCUAAUGAGACUGCCGUGACAAACCGGAGGAAGGUGGGGAUGACGUCCUCAUGGCCCUUAUGGGGUAACACACGUCAUACAAUGGUCGGGACAGAGGGUCGCCAACCCGCGAGGGGAGCCAAUCCCAGAAACCCGAUCGUAGUCCGGAUCGCAGUCUGCAACUCGACUGCGUGAAGUCGGAAUCGCUAGUAAUCGCGGAUCAGCAUGUCGCGGUGAAGCGUUCCCGGGUCUUGUACACACCGCCUGUCACACCAUGGGAGUGGGUUUUACCAGAAGUAGUUAGCCUAACCGUAAGGAGGGCGAUUACCACGGUAGGAUUCAUGACUGGGGUGAAGUCGUAACAAGGUAA